AGUAAACGCUGGCGGUAGGCCUAACACAUGCAAGUCGAACGGCAGCACAGGAGAGCUUGCUCUCUGGGUGGCGAGUGGCGGACGGGUGAGGAAUACAUCGGAAUCUACUCUGUCGUGGGGGAUAACGUAGGGAAACUUACGCUAAUACCGCAUACGACCUACGGGUGAAAGCAGGGGAUCUUCGGACCUUGCGCGAUUGAAUGAGCCGAUGUCGGAUUAGCUAGUUGGCGGGGGAAAGGCCCACCAAGGCGACGAUCCGUAGCUGGUCUGAGAGGAUGAUCAGCCACACUGGAACUGAGACACGGUCCAGGCUCCUACGGGAGGCAGCAGUGGGGAAUAUUGGACAAUGGGCGCAAGCCUGAUCCAGCCAUACCGCGUGGGUGAAGAAGGCCUUCGGGUUGUAAAGCCCUUUUGUUGGGAAAGAAAUCCAGCUGGCUAAUACCCGGUUGGGAUGACGGUACCCAAAGAAUAAGCACCGGCUAACUUCGUGCCAGCAGCCGCGGUAA
rnacentral:rRNA from 1 species